CAUGUAUAUAAACAAUACAUUAAAGUAUCAUGAGAACUGCUGAAAACAUUUUUGAGUUAAUGUCCGAAAACUGGAAAAUACCAUCUUUUUUAAUGAAUAAAGCCCUUAACUGAAUAACAUAAAAUCGAAAAUUAAUAAAAAUCGAAAGGGCGCUUACAACAAUAGAUAUAAAUAAUUCAGCAAAGUUUCAUGAGAACUGCUGAAAACGCUUUUG
rnacentral:lncRNA from 1 species